rnacentral:rRNA from 1 species
GAAUUUUGGACAAUGGGGGAAACCCUGAUCCAGCCAUCCCGCGUGUGCGAUGAAGGCCUUCGGGUUGUAAAGCACUUUUGGCAGGGAAGAAACGGCUCGGGCUAAUACCUUGAGCUAAUGACGGUACCUGCAGAAUAAGCACCGGCUAACUACGUGCCAGCAGCCGCGGUAAUACGUAGGGUGCAAGCGUUAAUCGGAAUUACUGGGCGUAAAGCGUGCGCAGGCGGUUCGGAAAGAAAGGUGUGAAAUCCCAGGGCUUAACCUUGGAACUGCACUUUUAACUACCGGGCUAGAGUACGUCAGAGGGGGGUAGAAUUCCACGUGUAGCAGUGAAAUGCGUAGAGAUGUGGAGGAAUACCGAUGGCGAAGGCAGCCCCCUGGGAUGAUACUGACGCUCAUGCACGAAAGCGUGGGGAGCAAACAG